GCUCAGUCUCACAAAAUGUGAGAUCGUGACCUCAAGAGUCAGAUGCUUAACCAACUGAGCCACCCAGGCACCCCUGGAGAAACAUUUUUUUGACAUCACGAUUGGGGCUGCUGUAGGCGUCCUGUGAGCUAGACAUUUUGCAGUACAUAGGAUGGCUCCCUCAACUAAGAUUUAUCUGGUCCGGAAUGUUACAGUGCCAAGAUUGAGAAAUCCUGACCAGAUGAAUUGCAGAGUGAGUGUUGAUAAACACACUUUGGGAGGAUUGAGCCUUCAUUUACUCUUACUUUCCAGUUGAGGGAGAUGAGAGGAAACCAGCAAAGUAGAACUGAGAGGCCCUGAAAGCCAGGAAGGAACGCUUUCACAAGGAGGGAGAUGGUAAAUGAACUGUGUUGCUUUACGUACUCGUCUUGGUUUGAAUAUUAGGAGCUACUCCCUUCGGGACUGUGAUAAGGGUCUUAUGGAGUGAUGAGGGUAAAACUCUGGUUAGAGUGCACCAAGGAGGUAUCAGCAGACAUAGAGUUCUGAAGUAAAGAGAGUCAGAGAAAUGGGGGCACAGCUGUCGAGGAGAGUGGUGGUGGUGUGCAGGAAGUUAGCUUUUUGUAUUCUUUUAAGAUGGGUAGUACCACGGCAUAUUUGUCUUCCAGUACAAGUGAUUGGAGUGGGGGAAAGCUUGAUUUAGGUGGAGAAUAUGGUGUAAUUGUUUUCUACCAAAAAGUACAAAGAGAAAGGAGUUAACUAGCUUGUGAUCCCCAGAAUAGGUUUUAUAAAUAAGCAAGCACACACGCACGCACCCCUUUGUUACACAGGCUGAAGUGUGAGGGAAAGGCUUUCUUUGUCUCUCCAGCCAUCAUAUUCCCUUCCUUUGUUUAGGAGUGGUACGUUCCAGCCCCUCUGAAAUUUUUUUUUGUGGCCAGCCCUUUCAGGAGUGAACAAAAGCACCCCCCGCCCCACAGCUUUUGUGUGAUGGAAGAGGAUGAGGUUGAGAUUUCUUGCAGAGCUGGACAGCGAUGAAACACGCGCUCAGAUUGUAAUUCCAAUUUAAACUUGUGAACAUUUGUUGUAUUUCAGAUUCCCCGAUUGACACGUAGCCUGUCCCAGAUCCACAGCACCAGUGUGUCUUACUUGCCACUCUGUGCUUAAAACAGAGCGAGGCACACGUUAGAGGUCCCAGUAGUUUUCCUUAAAAGGUCAGUGCUGAAGUACUUCUGUGUAUUCAAGCUAGCUUUUUUUUUUCCUUUUUCCAAAGCUGCUCUGAGAGGGAAGGGAAUUUCCCCUGUGCUGUGUUGUCUACUGCUUUGUAACAAACUACCCCACAGUUUGGGUAGGACUUGGUGAAUGCUGCUGGAGCAACUGCACAGGGGCUGGGGUAUUUACGUUCGGGACAACUUCUUGCCACCGGUGUUUAAUUCCUAUGUUCUUUCACCUGGGAGUGUGGUCGGGGUCUCAUCUCCUGUGCAUGUGGGCCUUUGCACAGAGUAUUUGUGCUUCUUUACAACAUGGUUGAUAGGUUUCAAGAUCAAGUAUUUCGAGAGACAUGAACGCUGUCAGUUAUUAAAGGUCUGGGCCCUGAGUUGGUCUAGUGUCAUUUCUCCCAUAUUUUAAUGGUCAUUCUUAGCUUGGCCAGAUUUAACGGUCCUAGGCCCCCACUUCUUGAUGUGUAGAAUGUCAAAGGAUUUGUAACUAUCUUAAUUUACCAUAACUAUGAUCCCAGAAGGGGGAAAAUGUUAGAGGAGCACAAUUUUCUUCAAUGCUUACUCUUUCCCAAGGAAGAAGUAGUAACUUGCCUAUGUGUAGAAUACUGUAGAAGAACUGUGUACACUUGACUGAGCCCCUUUUCUGGUCUGCUGUCCUAGUGCAUGGUAAUAAGGUUAGCGACACAGGCUCUGCUUUGUGGGGAAAGCCUGUGGUUUGGGUUUUUUGUUUCGUUUGGUAAAAAUUGUGAUAAUCUAGAUGCAAUAAAAUUCAUUGCAAUUA